AGCGAACGCUGGCGGCAGGCCUAACACAUGCAAGUCGAACGAACUCUUCGGAGUUAGUGGCGGACGGGUGAGUAACACGUGGGAACGUGCCUUUUGGUUCGGAAUAACUCAGGGAAACUUGUGCUAAUACCGAAUGUGCCCUUCGGGGGAAAGAUUUAUCGCCAUUAGAGCGGCCCGCGUUUGAUUAGCUAGUUGGUGAGGUAACGGCUCACCAAGGCGACGAUCAGUUGCUGGUCUGAGAGGAUGACCAGCCACACUGGGACUGAGACACGGCCCAGACUCAUACGGGAGGCAGCAGUGGGGAAUCUUGCGCAAUGGGCGAAAGCCUGACGCAGCCAUGCCGCGUUAAUGAUGAAGGUCUUAGGAUUGUAAAAUUCUUUCACCGGGGACGAUAAUGACGGUACCCGGAGAAGAAACCCCGGCUAACUUCGU
rnacentral:rRNA from 1 species